rnacentral:tRNA from 3 species
CAAAAUCCGUUGGCUUUAUUGACCGUGAGGGUUCAAGUCCCUCUACCCCCA